UUUCUGCCUUUGCAUAAAAGCCAGCACAAUCCUGCCCGAGGUGGUCCACGCCCUGGUGGCUGCGCUAAGUGCUCCCCACACACCGUGUUCAGUCCUUACAGCUGACCUGAGCCCCAGAUGCCUCCUUGUGUGACACCAUCAAGUCCACCAUAAACCAAUGGAUGGAAUAACUCUCAGCAACUUGUCCCUUUCCUCCCCUGCUCCCCUUGGGUAAGAAACUGUGCAAGCUU
rnacentral:lncRNA from 1 species